UCCCUGGUGGUCUAGUGGUUAGAGCUCAGUGCUUUCACUGCUGUGACCCAGGUUCCAUCCCUGGUUGGGGAA
rfam:TPA: Bos taurus chromosome 21, whole genome shotgun sequence.